AAUGAAAUAUAAUAGUAUUAAAACGGUUUUCUUCUUUUGAAAAAAUUUAUUGCUAGUCCUGUUUCUAAUCGACUUUACUUGUGUAUUUUAAGCUUUUUUGUUGCUGUGCUUUUUCUGGAGAUUUUAGUUGGAUUGGAAAGCUCCUGUGUAAGGUACCCUUUCCUAAAGAAAAAUUGAAGUAAUUUGUACAAUUAUAACGCGCCGAGCUGUGUUUUAUUUUAUUGUUUCUAAGAAGAUGUAAGAAUACAAUAUUAUCAAUUUUAAUUGGUUUUAUCCAAAUCAAGAUUGUGUACAAUGGGAGUGAGUGAUGUAAUCUUCUAAUGCGUGUGGUGAAAAGAAGGCGAAUCCGUUAUUGUUUUUCUGCCCAAAUUUGAAGCUAUUUAAUAAAUCUUGAUAAAGUUAAAAAACUGUUUUGA